GACGAACGCUGGCGGCGUGCUUAACACAUGCAAGUCGAACGGAAAGGCCCUGCUUUUGUGGGGUGCUCGAGUGGCGAACGGGUGAGUAACACGUGAGUAACCUGCCCUUGACUUUGGGAUAACUUCAGGAAACUGGGGCUAAUACCGGAUAGGAGCUCCUGCUGCAUGGUGGGGGUUGGAAAGUUUCGGCGGUUGGGGAUGGACUCGCGGCUUAUCAGCUUGUUGGUGGGGUAGUGGCUUACCAAGGCUUUGACGGGUAGCCGGCCUGAGAGGGUGACCGGCCACAUGGGGACUGAGAUACGGCCCAGACUCCUACGGGAGGCAGAAGUGGGGAAUAUUGCACAAUGGGCGGAAGCCUGAGGCAGAAACGCCGCGUGCGGGAUGACGGCCUUCGGGUGGUAAACCGCUUUCGCCUGUGACGAAGCGUGAGUGACGGUAAUGGGUAAAGAAGCACCGGCUAACUACGUG
rnacentral:rRNA from 1 species